rnacentral:miRNA from 1 species
CCAGUUCAAUUUAAAUUUCAAAAAAAUAAUUUUUAGUAUAAGUAUAGCCCAUGCAGUACUUGGGAUAUACUUAUGCUAAACAUCUUUUCCUUGUUUGUCUGAAAUUCAAAUUGAACUGGGUCUCUUGUA